rnacentral:rRNA from 1 species
GACGAACGCUGGCGGCGUGCUUAACACAUGCAAGUCGAACGAUGAAGCCGGAGCUUGCUCUGGUGAAUUAGUGGCGAACGGGUGAGUAACACGUGAGUAACCUGCCCUUGACCCUGGGAUAACUGCUAGAAAUGGUAGCUAAUACCGGAUACGACCCUCGGCGGCAUCGCCAGGGGGUGGAAAGAAUUUCGGUCAAGGAUGGACUCGCGGCCUAUCAGCUAGUUGGGGAGGUAACGGCUCACCAAGGCGGCGACGGGUAGCCGGCCUGAGAGGGUGACCGGCCACACUGGGACUGUGACACGGCCCAGACUCCUACGGGAGGCAGCAGUGGGGAAUAUUGCACAAUGGGCGCAAGCCUGAUGCAGCAACGCCGCGUGAGGGAUUACGGCCUUCGGGUUGUAAACCUCUUUUAGUAGGGAAGAAGCGAAAGUGACGGUACCUGCAGAAAAAGCACCGGCUAACUACGUGCCAGCCGCCGCGGUAA